GGGGGCGACUAAGUUUCGACAGGGCUUUAGUUAAAAGACAUAAAGCAGGUGGCGGUUCGUUCUUACGCCUAAACUAAGAGCAAGCGUAAAUAAACGCAGACGAAGAAAACAAUGUUGUUACAAUGAACGCUAUGCCUUGUGCUGCCUAAAUUGUGACGACGCCUGAUUAGAGCAUUAUCUAAUUCGCCUUAUUUUUGUCUUGCCAACAAAAAUUUUGGUGUCAGACUUGGCAAAAAUUUCAUUCAAAGUUAUUUCUUGUAUGAAUGAAAAAUUUUAAAGAAAUUGCUUUAAAAACUUGUUUAUGAGUGAUUUUAGAGUGAAAUUUUAUGCAUAAACUAAACUUGUAGAAAAGUCUUUUAAAAAAGUUUUGGACUCGGGAGCAUAACCCGACGCCUCCAC
rnacentral:tmRNA from 1 species